AUGUGGACUUUGCGAAGAGAUUUGCAAUGAGUUUGAGGCGCAUCCAUGCACUGAAGGGUUCGCAAGACUUUGGAUAGACGAAAACAGUUAUGUUUAUCCUCUAUCAGAUGACAAUACAAUCGUCCGCAGGAGCGCCAUGCCUGAUGGAAGUGAGUUGACCGUAGAAGAAGAAAUAAAUCGAUCACCUGAAACUGCUUCAUCGACACAGCCGGUUCAACCUUUGGUGGAUAUUAAUAGCCGGGUAGCAAGAGGAAAAAAAUUGAACGACUUGGUUGUGGAAGUCCUCAUCAUGGCAGUCCAGACCAGAGCAACUUUAUGGGAUUUCACGACACCACUGGACCAGAGGGUCUCGAGAGAUGACCCGAAGGCUGUGGGAUGAAGUCUCCAGAGAAUUGAAUGGCAAACUAAGUGGAGAGGAGGCUAAAAAAAAAUGUUAAAGUCUGCGUGAUUGCCACAGGAAGAUUAUUCAGAGCGAACAUCAUGCCAGUGGAUCCGGGCGGAUUAUUGCCAAAGAAAAAUGGAAAUAUUAUGACAGCAUGGAAUUUCUAAGACUCUUGUCUGAUUCGACUCACUGAAUCGAAUAUAAGCUCAGAGGUACAGUCGGAAGACAACGGCCAACGGAUCGAAAAGAAUAGGGAUGACGAUGAUGUCAGCACCACGUCAAAUAAGACAUCAAAAGGAGCGUCCAGAACGUCGACCGGUUCUAUGGAGCCAACUGCCAUUGCCAUCACCAGAAUCGCUGAUGCGCUCUGCACUCCACCUGCACCCACUCCGCUACCUCCUAUCCCUCAACCUGAUGAGGUUGAUCUGAUCUUGAGCGCAGUUGGGAUCCAAUUGCGGCCGAUGUCACAUAAUCUGAAAAUGCAAAAGCUCAUGGAAAUCUUGAAUCAUGUUCAUUCUAGAUCGCAAUAAAAUAGAUGUAACG